rnacentral:lncRNA from 1 species
GGCCAUCACAUACUUGCCAAGGUCAAGUGUUAGUCUUAUUUGACCCAACCAGCCUAUUUCACACAGGGGCUAACGCCCAUCAGCUGGGAGUUGCUGUUUCUCACAUCUUUGGCCUAGACUAGAGGUGGCCCCAGCCUGCUAAACCUCAUCUCUCACUGAACAUAACACCAUCUCAUACACGCUAACAUUUUUCAUCAGUAUUAGUGUCACCGCAAAGUGCCAUUAAAAUAGAAGUGGUUUCAUACAUUAUUUUAUCUGCAACGUGGCCACUGAGUCAUUCUUUGCUGGAGAGCUGUCUCCUGGGCAUUUAUAAGCCGGGUAACGAAUCUGCAGUAACGAAUCUGCAGCUCGCUGGGUUCGCGUCCUCUGGUGUACGGCAGAGAGAGUGGAGGAUCUGUGAGCUGUUGGGGCUAAAACAAGUUGCAUCUGUUCUCUCGGGCCUGAGAACAUUAAUUAAGUGCCUGGUUGCAGGGAUGAAAGCUGAGCCUACGGACGCUGAUGGUCAAGAAGCGUAAUUAUGGUGAAGACACCAAGAAGUGUAAUUGUGGCGAAGACACCUGCCCAGAGACAUGUCCCAAGGGCGACGGUACUCUUCCAUUCUCCCAACAAAAUGUAAUUGCUGGAUCCUGGGGCUAUGGAGCUGAAUAAGGAAGACACAGUUCUGAAUCCCAUGGAUGCCCAGUUGUGAGACUGUGAUUUAUAACAAAUGUAUAUUUCGUCUUCACCCUCAUUUCUGACACUGAGCUCCUAAACCCUUGGAAUUUCC